UGGCAUAAUAUAAUGAAAUACUCUUACGCCCUAUAAUAUUUUAAUGAAGUUCUAAAUUGAUUAGAAUGAUAUCAUGAAUACAUGAUUAGAAUGAUAUCAUGAAUACAUGUGCAAUACAAUUACAAGCGUGUCAGCAUGAAUUGAACCUGCAGCCCUACAAUUCUACCGCAGCCCUCUGACCUAAAGAGCCCUUUUGCCAAGAGGUAACCACAAGUUGUUGUAUGUAUACCAUGGUGGUGUCAUUGGUAGUGUAUUAAAUAAACUGCCCAGGAUGACACUAGUAUUAUAUACAUGAACUCUUGGUUACAGUAGAGCUUGAUUGACUGUCAGGGCGAUGGACUCUUAGGGCUUCAGGACCUUUGACGGUUAAAAAGCUGAUCAGAAUCACCUGUAGGGCAGCAGGUUCCAUUCCCAGCACAGUACCGGCUAUUACAUAGUUAUCGUUCAAAAAAUUUACAUUUACAGAAAAGCUUUAACCCAUUAAGUGGCAGCACUCUCUCCUUAAUGAGCAAAAAUUGUCUGACCACAUUUGACAGAAAAA